rnacentral:rRNA from 1 species
CCCCUAGAUGUUCUGGGCCGCACGCGCGCUACACUGAACAGUUCAACAAGUCUUAACCUUGGCCGAUAGGUCUGGGUAAUCUUUGAACGCUGGUCGUGAUGGGGAUAGACUUUUGCAAUUUUUGGUCUUCAACGAGGAAUUCCUAGUAAACGCAAGUCAUCAACUUGCAUUGAUUACGUCCCUACCCUUUGUACACACCGCCCGUCGCACCUACCGAUUGAAUGGUCCGGUGAAGCCUCCGGAUUGGCGCGCACCUCGGUGCCGCCGAGAAGUUGGCUAAACCUUACCAUUUAGAGGAAGGUGAAGUCGUAACA